rnacentral:rRNA from 1 species
AUUGAACGCUGGCGGCAGGCCUAACACAUGCAAGUCGAACGGUAACAGGAAGAAGCUUGCUUCUUUGCUGACGAGUGGCGGACGGGUGAGUAAUGUCUGGGAAACUGCCUGAUGGAGGGGGAUAACUACUGGAAACGGUAGCUAAUACCGCAUAACGUCGCAAGACCAAAGAGGGGGACCUUCGGGCCUCUUGCCAUCGGAUGUGCCCAGAUGGGAUUAGCUAGUAGGUGGGGUAACGGCUCACCUAGGCGACGAUCCCUAUCUGGUCUGAGAGGAGGACCAGCCACCCUGGAACUGAGACACGGUCCAGACUCCUACGGGAGGCAGCAGUGGGGAAUAUUGCACAAUGGGCGCAAGCCUGAUGCAGCCAUGCCGCGUGUAUGAAGAAGGCCUUCGGGUUGUAAAGUACUUUCAGCGGGGAGGAAGGGAGUAAAGUUAAUACCUUUGCUCAUUGACGUUACCCGCAGAAGAAGCACCGGCUAACUCCGUG